rnacentral:rRNA from 1 species
UACGUAGGGUGCAAGCGUUGUCCGGAAUUAUUGGGCGUAAAGAGCUCGUAGGCGGUCUGUCGCGUCUGCUGUGAAAACUCAGGGCUUAACCCUGAGCUUGCAGUGGGUACGGGCAGACUAGAGUGCGGUAGGGGAGACUGGAAUUCCUGGUGUAGCGGUGGAAUGCGCAGAUAUCAGGAGGAACACCAAUGGCGAAGGCAGAUCUCUGGGCCGUAAACUGACGCU